UUUUAUUUGAGAUCCCACCAACCAAAAGAUUUCAAUGAAUCACAAAAUUGGACGAACAAUUAAUGUUGGUUUAAUUGUAAUGAGUAGUUAUAUAUAUUUUCUGUUCCUUUCAACUAAAAUUUUAUUCAUCCCUUUGUAAAAUAAAAAAUGCCUUCCUAUCCAAGUUUUGAACAGCACAUCCGGUAAUAUAACCAAUAUAGAAAAUCGAAUCAGGUUAUGAAUCUCUAUACUAUAUUAUUAGUAUUGUAAUAAAAUAAUAUAAGUAAACUUGCUAAUUUAUGCCUUAACUUAUAUUAUUUUACAUGCAAUUGACCUUACUUUAAAUGUAAAAAGUAACAGGCAAUAGUAUUUUUGUGGUCUAUAACUGCUGUGUAUAUUUGUAAUUAACUGCUGUAGUACUCUGCUGAAUUGUAUAUAGUAUUUUAGAUUUUGUUUUUACAUUAUUUAUAUAUUUAUUUUGUAUAAAGGACAUGAAUUUAAGAUUUGUCUUACCAAAUCGGUGGUAAACUGCUGACAUAAUAGAUAAUAGUUGUAUAGAAUAAGAUAAGAGGUGUCAACUCUCCAAAUGUAAUAGGGAGGUCCCGAUUAGAAAAAGGAAAUAUCCACUGAAAACAAGUCUCCUCAAAACUCUACACUUACUUUGCCCCUUAUGUCUCCAUUAUUUCACUACAAGUAGUCUGAGAUGAAGACAAAUCUUCUUAAAAAAAUCUGCUAACUUCCCCUUAUGUCCCCCUUAUUUCACUACAAGUAGUCUCUUUUUUGCUAAAGCAGAGUUCUGUAAAGCGAGAAAUUUUUUGAUGGGUUCAUUUUCGUCUUACUUUGUGAUUAAGGUCAAUUCUAAGCGAUAUUCCCUGGAUUCAAUUUUAAGCAAAGAUGGUCAGAAUCAAAAGAGCAGAAAAACAAAAUACUGGUUUAGCCAGUAGAAGUGAAUUUUGAACCUGCUAAAAUAAAAUAUGUAAUAGUAUAUUUUACAAAAUACACAUGGCUAAAUCUACCUAAAAAAUGACUGAUUAAUUGUUGUUUUGACAAAUAAAUACAUAGAUGACAAAAUGAUAGCUGUUUUAGCAAAAUUAAUUCAUAAAUUCCAAUCAAAAUGUACAAUUUCCUUAACAGCUGAUCUUCAAAUAUAUAAAUACUCUUCCUAGGAGAAAAAAAAUCUUUUUUGAGGUAUUUGAAAAGUUGACAUCAAAUAUAAUGUAGUAUAGUAUUAGUGCCUUGUACAUUUAGAACUUAAGAUGUCAGUAUUUGAUAUUUCAAAGGGAAAUUUCUAAUAUUGAUGUCAAUUAAUUGUUUAUGAGCAAAAUGUGAUAUUUUUUUUUUUUUUUACAUUUUAUGAAUAUGCUAUUCAUGUGUUACUAUUCCAUCCAGUUAUUUUGUUUUAUAAUUUUAUCUAUUCCUUUCAUCAAUUACAAGUUUGUAGUUCAGUUUCAAAAAAAAAUCUAUAAUAACAAUUUCUGUUUAGAAAUUAGGUACUCAAGAUGGAGCCUUUGAAAUGAGGAAAAUUUUGGAGUGAUGCUUUAUAUGUUACUAAAUGUACCAUAAUUAUAUCUAUGUAAUUUUCUGUUAUAAUCUUUUAUUGUCAUGCACAAACACCAUCAAAAUCUUUAUUAUAUUUGUUUUAAUAGUAUUUUUUUAUUUUUGUUUAUAUGAAAUCAUUAUUUCACAAAUGGUGCCUAGAACUCUAUUUCCCCUUACUAGAUAGUCAACUGUUAUUUCUUAUAUGUUUGUCAUUAAUAUUAGUCAAUUUCAAAGUUUACUCAUGAAAACUGCUAAAUAUUGUAAAAUGAAACUAGUUAAUUUGUAGUUUUCUAAAGAAAAUUUAUCUUUUAAAGUUAUAUUAAAAGUCCAGUGCCUUGGAAAGUUUUAAAUUGAAAUUUGACAUAACAUUUUACUCUAACUUAGCUAUAAAGGAUCAAGUUUAUUCUAUUCAGCAACAUUUUUUUAAAGAAUGUAUUAUUUUAAUUUUAUUUAAACUAAUGUCUGGUGAUUUUAAAAUUUAGUUGAAGAUAAGUCUGGAAAUUGUUUAUGCAUAUACAUUUUCAAUGAUUUUAAUGUUUUAUGUAUGAGUUUCAAAAACCAUCAUCUAUAUUUUUAGUGUAUCUUCUCUUAUUUCAAUAGAAUCCUAUAGCAACAAGUUUACAUGAUACCAAAUUUAAAUGCAAACAUCAGUUAUAUAAACCAUGCAGACAUGACAUAGUUUAUUAAUUAUUGUUACCUUUACACUUAUGUAUUCUGUUUUCUGUGAUAAAACACUUGUUAUUUUUGUGAUUCAGUAUUGAAUACAAUUUUGUCUUGACCA
rnacentral:lncRNA from 1 species